rnacentral:rRNA from 1 species
UACGUAGGGUGCGAGCGUUGUCCGGAAUUACUGGGCGUAAAGAGCUCGUAGGUGGUUUGUCGCGUUGUUCGUGAAAUCUCACGGCUUAACUGUGAGCGUGCGGGCGAUACGGGCAGACUGGAGUACUGCAGGGGAGACUGGAAUUCCUGGUGUAGCGGUGAAAUGCGCAGAUAUCAGGAAGAACACCAAUGGCGAAGGCAGCUCUCUGGGACGGUACUGACGCUGAGACGCGAAAGCGUGGGGAGCGAACAGG